rnacentral:rRNA from 1 species
AUGAAUAGAAGAUUUUUUGCUUUUAAGGGUGCACAUGAGAUUGAAUCUUUGUUUAAAAAGUUUGAAGAUUUUGAUGAUUCAGUUUAUAGACCUAAAAUUUGUGCUAUCCUUAAAUAUUGCUAUGAUAAUUAUAAAUACAAUUAUAUUGAUGUAUUUAUUGAGAAUAACUCCGUUGUCCAAGAAGAGACUAACAUUUUGCAGGAGUCUAUGGAAGAAGAAAAUGAUGAAACCAUGAGCUCAUUGGAUGAAAAAGAUGAGGAGGAAUGCGAAGCACAAAAGGAGGAAGAGUGGAUUGAUCACCAGUGCCCACCUUCUAAUGAGAGUAACUCUUUAUCCCAUAUAUUGUUUAAUGCCCCUUUGUUCUUAUCGAAGGAUGAAUGCUAUGAUGAUUGCUAUGAUCCCUUGGAUUCUUUUGAAAUGUCCCUUUUUGAUGAACUUGAUGAUUGCUAUGCUUGUGGCCAUGAUGCCAAUAUUAAUUAUGCUUAUGGAGAUGAACUUGCUAUAGUUCCUUAUGUUAAGAAUGAAAUUGCUGCUAUUGCACCCACACAUGAUAACCCUCUUAUCUUUUUGAAUUAUCCAAACUACACUAUAUUGGAGCAGAUUGCACUUUUUAAGCAUUACAUUGAUGGGUUGUGUUCUACCACUACACAUGAUAAUUUUGAUGAAUGUAAUAUGCAUGUGCUUUCUUCUCCUACUUGCGAUUAUUAUGAGAGAGGAACUAAAUCUCCGCCUCUCUAUGUUUCCAACACGAUAAAUUGCAAGAAACUGCUUAUGCUAUACUUCAUCAUUGCUUGA